GACGAACGCUGGCGGCGUGCUUAACACAUGCAAGUCGAACGGAAAGGCCCUGCUUUUGUGGGGUGCUCGAGUGGCGAACGGGUGAGUAACACGUGAGUAACCUGCCCUUGACUUUGGGAUAACUUCAGGAAACUGGGGCUAAUACCGGAUAGGAGCUCCUGCUGCAUGGUGGGGGUUGGAAAGUUUCGGCGGUUGGGGAUGGACUCGCGGCUUAUCAGCUUGUUGGUGGGGUUGUGGCUUACCAAGGCUUUGACGGGUAGCCGGCCUGAGAGGGUGACCGGCCACAUUGGGACUGAGAUACGGCCCAGACUCCUACGGGAGGCAGCAGUGGGGAAUAUUGCACAAUGGGCGGAAGCCUGAUGCAGCAACGCCGCGUGCGGGAUGACGUCCUUCGGGUGGUAAACCGCUUUCGCCUGUGACGAAGCGUGAGUGACGGUAAUGGGUAAAGAAGCACCGGCUAACUACGUG
rnacentral:rRNA from 1 species